AGCGAACGCUGGCGGCAGGCCUAACACAUGCAAGUCGAGCGCCCAGCAAUGGGAGCGGCAGACGGGUGAGUAACGCGUGGGGAUCUGCCCAAUGGUACGGAAUAACCCAGGGAAACUUGGAUUAAUACCGUAUGUGCCCUUCGGGGGAAAGAUUUAUCGCCAUUGGAUGAACCUGCGUCGGAUUAGCUAGUUGGUGAGGUAAAGGCUCACCAAGGCGACGAUCCGUAGCUGGUCUGAGAGGAUGAUCAGCCACACUGGGACUGAGACACGGCCCAGACUCCUACGGGAGGCAGCAGUGGGGAAUAUUGGACAAUGGGCGCAAGCCUGAUCCAGCCAUGCCGCGUGAGUGAUGAAGGCCUUAGGGUUGUAAAGCUCUUUCGCCGGUGAAGAUAAUGACGGUAACCGGAGAAGAAGCCCCGGCUAACUUCGUGCCAGCCGCCGCCGUAAUAC
rnacentral:rRNA from 1 species